rnacentral:rRNA from 1 species
CGACCGGCGCACGGGUGAGUAACACGUAUCCAACCUGCCGUCUACUCUUGGACAGCCUUCUGAAAGGAAGAUUAAUACAAGAUGGCGUCAUGAGUCCGCAUGUUCACAUGAUUAAAGGUAUUCCGGUAGACGAUGGGGAUGCGUUCCAUUAGAUAGUAGGCGGGGUAACGGCCCACCUAGUCUUCGAUGGAUAGGGGUUCUGAGAGGAAGGUCCCCCACAUUGGAACUGAGACACGGUCCAAACUCCUACGGGAGGCAGCAUG